GACGAACGCUGGCGGCGUGCUUAACACAUGCAAGUCGAACGGAAAGGCCCUGCUUUUGUGGGGUGCUCGAGUGGCGAACGGGUGAGUAACACGUGGGUAACCUGCCCUUGACUUUGGGAUAACUUCAGGAAACUGGGGCUAAUACCGGAUAGGAGCUCCUGCUGCAUGGUGGGGGUUGGAAAGUUUCGGCGGUUGGGGAUGGACUCGGGGCUUAUCAGCUUGUUGGUGGGGUAGUGGCAUACCAAGGCUUAGACGGGUAGCCGGCCCGAGGGGGUGACCGGACAAAUGGAAACAGAGAUACCGCCCAGACUGCUACGGGGGGCAGGAGUGGGGAAUAUUGCACAAUGGGCGGAAGUCUGACGCGGCAGCGCCGUGUGCGAUAUGACGGCCUUCGGUUUGUAAACCUCUUUCUCCUGUCACGAAGUGUUAGUGACGGUAAUGGGUAAAGAAGCACCGGCUAACUACGUG
rnacentral:rRNA from 1 species